AUGAAUUCUGCCCUCACACUUGUCUCCUUCCAGUCUCCCUCCCUCAACCUAAAACAACACCCGCCGUCCCGACGACAGCAGAUAAGUGCCAAGUGGGAGAAGAGACAACAAUGCUCACCAAAGCCCAUACGAUCAAUACCAGGGCCAAAAGCAACCAGGGGCCUCAACAAAGCUUUCCAUGGAGAUGGAGAUAAUGCCUUGACAGAUGUGAUUCAUGAGUUCUACUCCUCCCUCAAUGACAAGGACAUAGCACGGCUCAUGGAGCUCAUUGACCCUGAUUGCACCGUCGACCACGCUUCCUAUUACAAACCACUCAACUUCAAGAAGACGAUGACCUACUUCGCAAGGCUCAUGGGAUCCAUGGGGGAGAAUGCCAAAUUUGCUAUCGAUGAGGUUUGUCAAGGAGUAGAACCCACUGUUGCUGUAGUAAUGUGGCACCUUGAGUGGAAGGGCAAGAUCAUCCCGUUUACCGAAGGCCUUAGUUUCUACACCUGUUCGGCAAACGGAGAAGAGCUUCUUAUCAGGAAAGUUCAUAUCUUCAACGACUCACCUGUGAAACAAGGAAACCGGGCAUUGGACAUACUUCAUUCCGUUGCCUAUUCGUUCGACAAAAAUCCAGAAUCAGCUGAAAAAACUCUACAGGACACACAAGGGCUUGGGUCCUUUGUCAAGCUUUACGAACUCUGCGUGGAGCUUACCGCGCGUCUUUUCAGAUUUGUGGUGGGUGGAUUGGUUACGGGAAUCCUCAUUUUGUAUAGCAUAUGCAAGGAGUUCAUGUAA
rnacentral:rRNA from 1 species